rnacentral:rRNA from 1 species
AUUGAACGCUGGCGGCAUGCCUAACACAUGCAAGUCGUGCGGAUGGAGGGAGCUUGCGCCUGGCUUCAGCGGCGGACGGGUGUGUAAUGCCUAGAAACCUGCCAGGUAGUGGGGGAUAACGUCCGGAAACGGGCGCUAAUACCGCAUACGUCCUGUGGGAGAAAGUGGGGGAUCUUCGGACCUCACGCUAUCAGAUGAGCCUAGGUCGGAUUAGCUAGUUGGUGGGGUAACGGCCUACCAAGGCGACGAUCCGUAACUGGUCUGAGAGGGUGAUCAGUCACAGUGGAACUGAGACACGGUCCAGACUCCUACAGGCGGCAGAGGUGGGGAAUAUUGGAAGAUGGGCGAAAGCCUGAUCCAGGCAUGCAGGGUGUGUGAAGAAGGUCUGCGUAUUGGAAAGCACUUUAAGUGGGGAGGAAGGGCAGUAAGAGAAAACCUUGCUGUUUUGACGGUACCAACAGAAGAAGCACCGGCUAACUUCGUG